rnacentral:rRNA from 1 species
GAUGAACGCUGGCGGCGUGCCUAAUACAUGCAAGUCGAGCGAACGGACGAGAAGCUUGCUUCUCUGAUGUUAGCGGCGGACGGGUGAGUAACACGUGGAUAACCUACCUAUAAGACUGGGAUAACUUCGGGAAACCGGAGCUAAUACCGGAUGAUAUUUUGAACCGCAUGGUUCAAAAGUGAAAGACGGUCUUGCUGUCACUUAUAGAUGGAUCCGCGCUGCAUUAGCUAGUUGGUAAGGUAACGGCUUACCAAGGCAACGAUGCAUAGCCGACCUGAGAGCGUUAUCCGCCACACUGGAACUGAGACACGGUCCAGACUCCUACGGGAGGCAGCAGAAGGGAAGCUUCCGCAAUGCGCGAAAGCCUGACGGAGCAACGCCGCGUGAGUGAUGAAGGUCUUCGGAUCGUAAAACUCUGUUAUUAGGGAAGAACAUAUGUGUAAGUAACUGUGCACAUCUUGACGGUACCUAAUCAGAAAGCCACGGCUAACUACGUG